AAAAGAGGGUAAGGAUUUUUUUGUCAACCACAGGGACAUGUGUCCCUCUCUCAUCCGGUUAAGGAAAAAAACAAAAAAAAGGAAGGAAAAAACCAUUAAGGGUCACACGGUUCCAACUAACAUUGAGGGAGGGGACCAUUAUUCUCUCUCAUUUUUGAACCAACCAAUGAUAAUCCAACAUGCCCUCAAUGUAUAGCCAAUAAAAAUGAAGAUUAUGAAAGAAACUGAAGAGGAUAUUCUUCUCAUUGCCCUCAAGUUUU
rnacentral:lncRNA from 1 species